CAGGGGGUAGUUUAAUUUAAAAUGUUAACUUUGGAGGUUAAUGAUAAGGAUCUCUUUUCCUCUGA
rnacentral:tRNA from 1 species